rfam:Pteropus alecto contig30068, whole genome shotgun sequence.
UGAAAAUAAAGCGGUCAAGCACUUCUUUCCCAGACACAAACUAUUUCUUCCCCAGGGCAGUAUUUCCCAAUUAUCCCUUCCUGUCAUCAUCACCUUCUUGUCCGUGCUCAUCAGCAUCUCAGACAAGUUACUAUGCUGGGAAAAUCAGGACCUCACACUUAGAUGAUCUUCUUAGAACCACACAAAA